rnacentral:rRNA from 1 species
AGGACGAACGCUGGCGGCGCGCUUAACACAUGCAAGUCGAGCGAGAACCGGUCCUUCGGGACCGGGGAAAGCGGCGAACGGGUGAGUAACACGUGGGUAAUCAACCCUCAGUACCGGGAUAGCCCGAGGAAACUCGGAUUAAUACCGGAUGGCCCAACAGCUCUUCGGGGCGGUUGGAAAAGGUAGCUUCGGCCUCCGACUGAGGACGAGCCCGCGGCGGAUUAGCUUGUUGGCGGGGUAAUGGCCCACCAAGGCGACGAUCCGUAGCUGGUCUGAGAGGACGAUCAGCCACACUGGGACUGAGACACGGCCCAGACUCCUACGGGAGGCAGCAGUGGGGAAUCUUGCACAAUGGGCGAAAGCCUGAUGCAGCGACGCCGCGUGAGGGAAGAAGGCUUUCGGGUUGUAAACCUCUUUCAGGAGGGACGAAGCUACUCGGGUUAAUAGCCCAGAGGGUGACGGUACCUUCAGAAGAAGCCCCGGCUAACUACGUGCCAGCAGCCGCGGUAA